rnacentral:rRNA from 1 species
GUGGGGAAUAUUGGACAAUGGGGGAAACCCUGAUCCAGCAAUGCCGCGUGUGUGAAGAAGGCCUUAGGGUUGUAAAGCACUUUCAGUGGGGAGGAAGUACUUAGUGUGAAUAGCACUGAGUAUUGACGCUACCCACAGAAGAAGCACCGGCUAACUCUGUGCCAGCAGCCGCGGUAAUACAGAGGGUGCAAGCGUUAAUCGGACUUACUGGGCGUAAAGAGUGCGUAGGUGGUUAUUUAAGUGAGAUGUGAAAUCCCUGGGCUUAACCUAGGAAUGGCAUUUCAUACUGAAUAGCUAGAGUAUAUCAGAGGAAAGUGGAAUUUCCGGUGUAGCGGUGAAAUGCGUAGAUAUCGGAAGGAACAUCAGUGGCGAAGGCGGCUUUCUGGGAUAAUACUGACACUGAGGUACGAAAGCGUGGGUAGCAAACAGGAUUAGAUACCCUGGUAGUCC